CUUCAAAGCUUUUCUAGGAAAUAAUUGAACACUUAAUGAUUUUAAAGUUCCAUGAUAGCUCUAAAGCCAAAUUGUUGUUUAAAUUAAUACAUUUAACUAAUGAUCAACACAUGAGUCUGAAAGAUGCUUCUCUGCACACAGGUGCGUUUGCGGAUCUGGCCUCAGGGCGAUGACUAAAACAGCAAAUGGUGUGUGAUACAGGGCUUGUCCGGAGCACCAAGGGGAGCUGGGCAGGCAGCGUCCUGGGAUGAGAAAAUUCUGCAGGAUAUGGAAUGUGCCUCUGUGGGUGAACACAAAGGGCUCAGCGCAGCUUGGCUCUGCAGUCGGCUUACCCCCAUUUGGAGUGAGAAGUUGCAAUCUGAGGAAGGUGAUAAGCAGGGGAGGGGAGGAUGAUCGCAAGAAAGUCCAUGAGCACAAGGGUAGUGAGCGCUGGCAGGAGCUCAGCACCAAGAAGCUGAUGAGGUCGGGCACUGAGAUGCUAGGACAGCCAGAAACUCCUUUGACCAUAGCAGGCAUGAGCGAGCACCAUUAUUUGGGGAGACUGUGCUUCUCUUCUCCAGCUCGAGUUUGUGAAGCUGGAGCCAAACUUCCUGGGAGCUCCAUAGGCAGAUGGUGCCUCCAGAACAGGGAAACAGGGCGCUGCUGCCUCCAAAGUCACCUGGAUAUCCACAAAGAAGGCAACGUGUAUGUGCCUGCGGGAGCUGAUGCCCUUCCCAGGCUGGAGUCCAGACCCCCAGCACAGCACACUUCCAAGCACCCAGCCCCAUGAGACUUCCAAGAACAUGACUCACACACACUACCCCAAGAGCUCUCUGAAAGGCAACAUGACAUUAACCUUAGAUGAAUGAUAUAUUAAAGCAAAACUCAUGGGGAAUCUGGCUUACAUUGUGGUGUGAUCAAGCUCUGAAACUUUCAUUUUCUUGCAUUUUUACUUAUAUAUAACUAGUCAGUCACAGCCUUGCUAGGUGGCCUGCUCAUGGUAAAAUAUUUAUUCCACCAGAAAGGUUGAAACAUUAUUCUUCCAGUACUUUGGCUGAAGACUACGCAGCACAGUACCUGGGGUUUGUGUGAAAUUUAGUAUUUACAGAGGCUGUAGGAGAGACUGGGACCACCCUGAUUUAGCUCCUUCCUCCAUUCUUUCAUUCUGUAUGACCUACCAAAUUAAUUAAAAAUUUGGGGAGCCCUCCAGUGGCCAAAAUUAUAGUGCCUAAAUUCACCACUGUUAAAGAGGUAUCACAAAAUCUGGUGGUGUCUUAAGUCUUUGCAAAAAUGCAUACACCUACAACUUUUCAAUAUGGAAUUUUUAAAAAGUUACCUUUUUACAGAAAAUAUAUUUUUUAAAAGGUCAGUCCGGUUAAGUACAGUCACUGCAACAGUGGAGAUACUUGGGGAAAAGAUUUCCUAAAAGCUCUUUGUAGAAAAC
rnacentral:lncRNA from 1 species